AGUGUCCACUGUCUUCCCAACCUGCUUUCUCCCUAAUUCCAGAGGGGAGAGUUAAGCAUGAUUUCACUUUUAUUAAUGUUAGAGCAAGAAAGUUUCCAGAGGCCCUGUUCCCACCUCUGCAUUUAUAGAUGAGAAGUGGGGCUGAGUUAACCAAGUUACUGAAAAUAAUAAAGUAAAAUCCAAGGACCCCCAGGGCAAGGCAGUUUCUGCAUUUUACAUAGUCUUUCUCACUGUUGGUGCUUUACAAAUCUGAGGUUACCACACACUUGACUACGGAUGUGAUCAACACUAACAAGGAGACAAAUUCAAGGACAACCUGUCUUUGAGCCAGGGCAGGCCUCAGACACCCUGCCUGUGGCCCCGCCUCCACUUCAUCCUGCCCGGAAUGC
rnacentral:lncRNA from 1 species